rnacentral:rRNA from 1 species
GACGAACGCUGGCGGCGUGCUUAACACAUGCAAGUCGAACGGUGAAGCGCCUUCUUUUUUGGUGGGUGCGGAUGAGUGGCGAACGGUUGAGUAACACGUGAGUAACCUGCCCCUCUCUACUGGAUCACCGCAUGAAAGCGUGGCUAAUACGGGAUAUUUUGGGUCUUUCGCAUGUCGGGUCUGGGAUAGAUAUUGUGGCGGUGGGGGAUGGGCUGGCGGCCGAUCGGCUUGUUGGUGGGGUGAUGGCCUACCAAGGCGGUGACGGGUAGCCGGCCUGGGCGGGUGGCCGGCCACACAGGGAGUGCGGCACGACCGGGACUGCUACGGGGGCCAGCAGUCGGGAGUAGUGAGCAGUGGGGGAAAGUGUACUGCGGCGGCACCGCGUAUGGGAUGAAGGCGUUCGGGUUAUGAACCUCUUUCGCCAGUAAAGCACGUCUGCCUGGUUUGUAGGGAAAUUGACGGUAGCUGGAUAAGAAGCGCCGGCUAACUACGUG